rnacentral:rRNA from 1 species
CCUACGGGGGGCAGCAGUGGGGAAUAUUGGACAAUGGGGGAAACCCUGAUCCAGCGACGCCGCGUGAGUGAAGAAGUAUUUCGGUACGUAAAGCUCUAUCAGCAGGGAAGAAAAUGACGGUACCUGACUAAGAAGCCCCGGCUAACUACGUGCCAGCAGCCGCGGUAAUACGUAGGGGGCAAGCGUUAUCCGGAUUUACUGGGUGUAAAGGGAGCGUAGACGGCAGCGCAAGUCUGGAGUGAAAUGCCGGGGCUCAACCCCGGAACUGCUCUGGAAACUGUGAAGCUGGAGUGCAGGAGAGGUAAGCGGAAUUCCUGGUGUAGCGGUGAAAUGCGUAGAUAUCAGGAGGAACACCGGCGGCGAAGGCGGCUUACUGGACUGUAACUGACGUUGAGGCUCGAAGGCGUGGGGAGCAAACAGGAUUAGAUACCCCUGUAGUC